AUUAAUUCUUUACUGACAGAUUAUAGUCACCUCUUGCUAUUAAACAAAAUUAUUUGCGAUUGAUAAAAAUUUUCGCAUUAUACAAAACAUUCUAAAUUAUCCUUAUUUUUGAAAAUUAUUUUGCAUUUAAUGAUGUCUUUCCGUAUGUCUAAGAAACUGUAUUCUGAAUACAGUUUUACACAGCUUUGGUAAAUCUUAUAGUUUGUUACUUGUAACAAAAAGGGGAAAAUUUCAUCGACAACUGUUCGCCUUAAAAUAAAACGAGAAAAGUAAUAUUAUGCAUUCAUUGAAUAAAAGCCAUUACUACCAGUUUAUACACUGUGUAUAAAUCAUCUUUUUACAAAUGAUAGUUUCAGUGAAUAUAGAUUUGAGAGAACAAAGUGCAAACAAAUUGUUAGGUAUUAUUGCGACAAACACUUCAGUGCUUUGCCCUUUUAAUUGUUUAUGUGUCACAAAGUUCGGUGCGCAAAUAAAUUAUCAUUGCGAUAUACACGAACACGCCACCUCUUGUUUUUGUCACAGAGGGUUUAUCAGUGACCACAUGUGGAAUUUACUGCCUGAUAACAUGACGUAGUAGCACAUGUCUCUUGAUUAGAAUUGUAUAUAAAAGGGAAUCCCUCUUAAUACACAGAACUCAAAUUGAAAAGAAAAAAAACACUGACAAACUGCAGAAUCACAAGGAAUCAAAGUCCAAUCUUCUCCAAAUUCAACAUGAAGGCUUGCAUGCUUUGUUUCUUGGUCCUGACCGUGUCUCUGUGUACGACUGCCACCACCACUGCCACUACCACCACCACUACCACAGAAGCGCCGUGCCCAAGUCGCUGCUACACUGCCAGCUCUUCCUGUAUGAACACCUGCUACAACACAAUUUCGACCAUCAUCAACAACAUCGGUAAACGUGAUGUCAUGGAAACAAUGGCCCGCCAAAGAAGAUUCAGUUGCUACGACACGUGUCGGUCAAUGUAUAACGCAUGCUGUGGAUCAAACUAAAUAAUGUUAAAUUUAAUCCAAAACAAUGUAUUUUCAACUUUAUUUUACUUUUUUAUUGAUUAAAAAACACUUGAAACCAA